rnacentral:rRNA from 1 species
AGAGUUUGAUUAUGGCUCAGGAUGAACGCUAGCGGCAGGCUUAACACAUGCAAGUCGAGGGGCAGCGGGAUGUAGCAAUACAUUGCCGGCGACCGGCGGAUGGGUGCGUAACGCGUAUGCAACCUACCUUAUACAGGGGAAUAACCUUUCGAAAGGGAGACUAACACCCCAUGGUAUUGAUUUAAGGCAUCUUAGAUUAAUUAAAUAUUUAUAGGUAUAAGAUGGGCAUGCGUAUGAUUAGCUAGUUGGUAAGGUAACGGCUUACCAAGGCGACGAUCAUUAGGGGUUCUGAGAGGAAGGUCCCCCACACUGGUACUGAGACACGGACCAGACUCCUACGGGAGGCAGCAGUGAGGAAUAUUGGUCAAUGGGCGCAAGCCUGAACCAGCCAUGCCGCGUGCAAGGAAGACGGCCUUAUGGGUUGUAAACUGCUUUUACAUAAGACUAACCGUAUAUUUGCGAAUAUACCUGAAUGUAUUAUGAGAAUAAGGAUCGGCUAACUCCGUGCCAGCCGCGGC